UACGAAGGGGGCUAGCGUUGCUCGGAAUCACUGGGCGUAAAGGGUGCGUAGGCGGGUCUUUAAGUCAGGGGGGAAAUCCUGGAGCUCAACUCCAGAACUGCCUUUGAUACUGAAGAUCUUGAGUUCGGGAGAGGUGAGUGGAACUGCGAGUGUAGAGGUGAAAUUCGUAGAUAUUCGCAAGAACGCCAGUGGCGAAGGCGGCUCACUGGCCCGAUACUGACGCUGAGGCACGAAAGCGUGGGGAGCAAACAGG
rnacentral:rRNA from 1 species